UUUAUUGGAGAGUUUGAUCCUGGCUCAGGAUGAACGCUGGCGGCGUGCCUAAUACAUGCAAGUCGAGCGAAUGGAUUAAGAGCUUGCUCUUAUGAAGUUAGCGGCGGACGGGUGAGUAACACGUGGGUAACCUGCCCAUAAGACUGGGAUAACUCCGGGAAACCGGGGCUAAUACCGGAUAAUAUUUUGAACUGCAUGGUUCGAAAUUGAAAGGYGGCUUCGGCUGUCACUUAUGGAUGGACCCGCGUCGCAUUAGCUAGUUGGUGAGGUAACGGCUCACCAAGGCAACGAUGCGUAGCCGACCUGAGAGGGUGAUCGGCCACACUGGGACUGAGACACGGCCCAGACUCCUACGGGAGGCAGCAGUAGGGAAUCUUCCGCAAUGGACGAAAGUCUGACGGAGCAACGCCGCGUGAGUGAUGAAGGCUUUCGGGUCGUAAAACUCUGUUGUUAGGGAAGAACAAGUGCUAGUUGAAUAAGCUGGCACCUUGACGGUACCUAACCAGAAAGCCAC
rnacentral:rRNA from 1 species